rnacentral:lncRNA from 1 species
AUCUGGAUUCAGUUAAGUUCUCUGCCCAUGUAUGGUGUGCUCUUAAAGACCUCGGGACUGGAUGUGGAGGAGCUCUCGGAGGGUUUCAAUUUCACCAUGGAGGACAUCAACAGCAAAAACAUUAGAUACUCAGCUGUGUUUGAGACAGAAGAGCCCAUGGUUAUGGAUAGCUUCCACUUCUCUGUCUCAGACAUGGACGACAACCGAGUGGACAACCAGGUCUUCACCAUCACAAUUACUCCUGCCAAGAGUCCACCGCACAUCAUUGCUUUUGCUGACCUUAUCACGGUAAACAGCUCUCAGAUCAAUAAACAUCCAGGCCUUUGGAGAGCUAGGAUCCUUGGUGAUGUAGCUAACGGAUUUUUGCCUAGCUGAGCUGCCAAGCUCUUCCCCUAAAGUAUCUGGGCGGUGAUACCAGACUGUCUGUAACUGUCAUUGUAAACUUUUUAAAAAAAAUAAUAAGAAUAGCUAUAUGCAAAAAAUCAGAUCAUUAUCUUUGCAUGAGUAGUCAAAAUAUGCACAUCGGUGCAUACUAGAGAGAAUAUUAUAUGUAUAUAUAUAUAAAAUAUAAAACAAUAAUAGAUAUUGUUGGCAAUGAGAAUAAAGGAGAAGUAGAAUAUACCUUUGAGGAUUUUAGUUGGUAACAACUAAAACACGGAAAGCUGAUCCCACAAGAAUCAAAUCAAUAUUUAUUACUAUUAACAAGAUUUAGAAAUUGUUUGUGUGUGAGGCAAAAUAACACGCGUCUGUCACUGACAUCAGCCAAGUGCCUCUACCAGCUUUGUUACAUACUAGCAUCUGGAUUUGCAACAUGUACUUAGUCGUUUCUAG